rnacentral:rRNA from 1 species
UACGUAGGGUGCGAGCGUUGUCCGGAAUUAUUGGGCGUAAAGAGCUUGUAGGCGGUUUGUCGCGUCUGCCGUGAAAAUCCGAGGCUCAACCUCGGACUUGCGGUGGGUACGGGGCAGACUAGAGUGUGGUAGGGGAGACUGGAAUUCCUGGUGUAGCGGUGAAAUGCGCAGAUAUCAGGAGGAACACCGAUGGCGAAGGCAGGUCUCUGGGCCACUACUGACGCCGAGAAGCGAAAGCGUGGGGAGCGAACAGG